rnacentral:rRNA from 1 species
AACGAACGCUGGCGGCAUGCCUAACACAUGCAAGUCGAACGAGACCUUCGGGUCUAGUGGCGCACGGGUGCGUAACGCGUGGGAACCUGCCCUUAGGUUCGGAAUAACUCCCCGAAAGGGGUGCUAAUACCGGAUAAUGUCUUCGGACCAAAGAUUUCUCGCCUUUGGAUGGGCCCGCGUUGGAUUAGCUGGUUGGUAGGGUAAAAGCCUACCAAGGCGACGAUCCAUAGCUGGUCUGAGAGGAUGAACAGCCACACUGGGACUGAGACACGGCCCAGACUCCGACGGGAGGGAGCGGUGGGGAAUAUUGGACGAUGGGGGAAAGCCUAAUCCAGCAAUGCCGCGUGAGUGAGGAAGGCCUUAGGGUUGUAAAGCUCUUUUACCCGGGAUGAUAAUGACAGUACCGGGAAAAGAAGCUCCGGCUAACUCCGUG